rnacentral:rRNA from 1 species
UGCAAGUCGAGCGAACAGACGAGGAGCUUGCUCCUUUGACGUUAGCGGCGGACGGGUGAGUAACACGUGGAUAACCUACCUAUAAGACUGGGAUAACUUCGGGAAACCGGAGCUAAUACCGGAUAACAUGUUGAACCGCAUGGUUCAACAGUGAAAGACGGUCUUGCUGUCACUUAUAGAUGGAUCCGCGCCGCAUUAGCUAGUUGGUAAGGUAACGGCUUACCAAGGCAACGAUGCGUAGCCGACCUGAGAGGGUGAUCGGCCACACUGGAACUGAGACACGGUCCAGACUCCUACGGGAGGCAGCAGUAGGGAAUCUUCCGCAAUGGGCGAAAGCCUGACGGAGCAACGCCGCGUGAGUGAAGAAGGUCUUCGGAUCGUAAAACUCUGUUAUUAGGGAAGAACAAAUGUGUAAGUAACUAUGCACGUCUUGACGGUACCUAAUCAGAAAGCCACGGCUAACUACA